rnacentral:rRNA from 1 species
GACAGAGGGUGCAAACGUUGUUCGGAAUUACUGGGCGUAAAGCGCGUGUAGGCGGCUUGGUAAGUCGGGUGUGAAAUCCCGGGGCCCAACCCCGGAACUGCAUUCGAAACUGCCUCGCUAGAGUCCCGGAGAGGAAGGCGGAAUUCCCGGUGUAGAGGUGAAAUUCGUAGAUAUCGGGAGGAACACCAGCGGCGAAGGCGGCCUUCUGGACGGUGACUGACGCUGAGACGCGAAAGCGUGGGGAGCAAACAGG